rnacentral:rRNA from 1 species
GACGAACGCUGGCGGCGUGCUUAACACAUGCAAGUCGAGCGAUGAAGUUUUUUCGGAAAUGGAUUAGCGGCGAACGGGUGAGGAACACGUGAAGAAUCUGCCCUCCACUUUGGGAUAACACAGGGAAACCUGUGCUAAUACCGAAUAUUGAAACAUAAGUGGCAUCACUGAGUUUUGAAAGAAUUUCGGUGGAGGAUGACUUCGCGGCCUAUCAGCUAGUUGGUGAGGUAAUGGCUCACCAAGGCAACGACGGGUAGCCGGCCUGAGAGGGCGACCGGCCACACUGGGACUGAGACACGGCCCAGACUCCUACGGGAGGCAGCAGUGGGGAAUAUUGGGCAAUGGGGGAAACUCUGACCCAGCGACGCCGCGUGCGGGAUGAAGGCCUUCGGGUUGUAAACCGCUUUCAGUAGGGAAGAAGCGAAAGUGACGGUACCUACAAAAGAAGCACCGGCUAACUAUGUGCCAGCCGCCGCAGUAA